GGCCGACUUCGCAGGUGGUAAAAAAAUUUACCAAGACAGUUAUAGGUAAAGAAAGGCAGAUUUAUUAGACAAAGUAUGAAAAUAUGUUGCAAGGUUGCAACAGGCAGCAACAGCAGAGAAGGGGCUGUGUGUAAAGAGGCAGGGGCUGGAGGGAGCUAAUUUCGGUGGGUUGUUUGUGAUUAGCCAUCUCUCAAAUAACAAUUGUUCAUUUUUCUUCCCCACGUGGGGCCCUGCCCUACCUGGGGCCCCUUCCUAGUGACUGCUUACUUACCAGGACUCCAAAAUGGUCCCCAGCUUGCUUCAGAGAGCUCACAGCCAAGAUGACAAGUGAGACCAUCAACCAUCAGUCCACUACCACCCUCAUAUCAUUGUUUUAUAUGUAUGAGAACCACCAUCAUCAUGGCAGUUACCUCCAAUUCAGCACCUUUUACAGAUCAUCACCAGCAGCUUCUCACUCAGCUGCCAUGCAUUGACUUCCCUGUUGAUCCAGCCUACUGCGGACCCAAAUAUUCCUGUUGCCAGAUAGGAGGGAUGAGUAAUGGAGACUCCAGUCCUCAGAGACCUUGAUCAAGUAAAGCAAAAACCCCUUCCUCCACUUUCUUUGCAAGUGGCUAAACCCUUAGUCACUCUGGGAAGAAAAGUAAACUGAAAACUUGAAAAAGUCCCAAGACAGAAUCUAACUCCAUCCCCUGCCCCAGAUAAAAAGCAAGAUAGCACAACUAUAGCAACCUUUUAAGUCAAAUUAAAUGAGCUAAUAAAAAU
rnacentral:lncRNA from 1 species